rnacentral:rRNA from 1 species
UACGUAGGGUCCGAGCGUUGUCCGGAGUGACUGGGCGUAAAGCGCGCGCAGGCGGCCUGUUAGGCACGACGUGAAAGCCCCGGGCUCAACCCGGGAGGGUCGUCGUGAACCGGCGGGCUUGAGGCCGGUAGAGGUGGGUGGAACUCCUGGUGGAGUGGUGAAAUGCGUAGAUAUCUGGAGGAACACCGGUGGCGAAGGCGGCAUCCUGGACCAAUACUGACGCUGAGGAGCGAAAGCCAGGGGAGCAAACGGG